rnacentral:rRNA from 1 species
GAUGAACGCUAGCUACAGGCUUAACACAUGCAAGUCGCGGGGCAGCAUGGGGGUUGCUUGCACUCCCCGAUGGCGACCGGCGCACGGGUGAGUAACGCGUAUCCAACCUGCCCUUCACCACGGGAUAACCCGGCAAAAGUCGGACUAAUACCGUAUGUUGUCCAUUGACGGCAUCCGAGUUGUACGAACGGUGUGGCGGUGAAGGAGGGGGUUGCGUCCGAUUAGCUGGACGGCGGGGUGACGGCCCACCGUGGCGACGAUCGGUAGGGGUUAGGAGAUGAAGGUCCCCCACACUGGAACUGAGACACGGUCCAGACUCCUACGGGAGGCAGCAGUGAGGAAUAUUAGGCAAUGGGCGUAAGCCUGAACCAGCCAAGUAGCGUGCAGGAUGACGGCCCUAUGGGUUGUAAACUGCUUUUAUGCGGGGAUAAAGUGGCCCACGUGUGGGUUUUUGCAGGUACCGCAUGAAUAAGGACCGGCUAAUUCCGUG